AUCAACUGUCAAGCAACUUCCUCUCUGCAAAUGUUCAACCACCAAGUUCUCCAUCCUUGAAUACAGCAGAGUGGUAUGGCCAGAAUAAUGUGAUUGAUUCAACUGAAUAUGCCUCUCCACCAAAGAAGCCCUCACCUCAAAGUCAAGGAAAAAGUAGGUCUGAAGACUGGUGGGACUACUUUUUUUCCAACUUCUUUGGAGACGAGGACCUUGACGAAGACUUGGAGCCACAAAACUCUGUGAUUGGCACUGAAAAAUACUGGUUUCCUCAGGUCGGAUUUUCCUCAAAAGCUCAAGAACCACUCACCCCCCCUCCUCCACGUCCCCAGAUUUAUAUUGUCCACACUAAAGGGAAUUAUAAACGAGGAAGAGUUGUCCACACUAAAUCGGUCUACUCUCCCAAGUAUGAGACACCAAUAUUGAAAUAUCCCAAGGGUUCUAAGGCUUCUGGAGGACCGUCAGAUAAUCUGUCGAACUUGCUUGAAGAUCAUUUAAAGAAUGAUGGGGAGGAAAGCGACUGACCUAUGUAAGAAAUAAAGAUUUUAAAUUUCAA